ensembl:lncRNA
AUUUAUUUAUUUAUUUAUUUAUUUAUUUGCAUAUUUCUUGUUACCAACUGGCAUUUAUUUAUAUUGGGCUGGGGAUAUAAAGCUUUGUUAUUGCUCUGCCUCGGGUGAAUUGUUUAUGACACGGCUAAUGGGAGUAAUUGUUAUUGUUGAAAUUGCCUGUCAGGAGAGUGACAGCGGAUAUUCUGGCGCGCUUUUCCGCUGAUCGGCCUCCUCCGCCGGGUAAUGAACAGCGCCACCGUCCCAUAAUGCGCCUGUCAAUGCCGCAUGCCGCGCCACUCUCAUCUCAUUGAUGACGAAAAAAACAUCGAGACGAGUUGAGAAGAGUUGAGUUGCGAGCAGUGAGGAUAUUGUGCAUGUGCUGCAUGUGCUUUGUAUUAAUGAAAUCAUUUAGGAGGGAUACAAUACUCUAAGAGGCAGGAGCCAAUCUUCUGAUGAGGCUACUCAUCUUCAUAUUGUCAGGCACAAAAACAGACACACACACCCAUACACAUACACACACGCACACUGUACAUUCACAGCUACAGGCAUUAACCUGUGGGAAACCUUUAUGAAAGUGCUUCCACUGCCAUGUUCCAAUAUAUAAGAUAAUACAUCCUAAAAUGACUUUUUUGGCCUCACCAUUAAGGCUUUCCAUUUUAAUAAAUGUGAGCAGUGUGGUGAGACAGGUUUGGGGCAAUCUCUAACCGUAUGGUUGUUUUAUCUGUGUUGUCAGUGUGAAAGGAGGGGGAAGGCUUGCCCAGAGAGAGUUCCCCAGGUGCUGCAGAAGAGCCGUUGCACUUAAACUUGUUUCAUGAUAUCAUAAAGCUGCACUAGAUAUCCAAAUGAACAACUCGUGCCUUUCAUUGACCCCUGUACAGAAAAUCACUAGCGACAAUAGGUUUAGAGGGAGAGGAAUAGAAGCUGAAAGGGAAAGGCGGGGGUAGUGAUAAUGUUGGCAAGCCCGGUGUGGGAGCAGGUGCCAGCAGAGAGGAUAAUAAACACAAUACACAUGACAAGAUGGCUACUCACUCCAACUAAUGUCUUUUGGCUGUGGUUAGGUCAUCGGUCUCAAAAUUCCACAUCAGCUUAAUGAGCAUUUCUUUUCUUUGCCUUCUAAUUUUCUGCUCUCGUUUCUUAUUAAUUUCUUUUCUGUCUUUCAUAAACCUGCUGUCCUUCCCUCUCACCCUGCUGUCUUUUUUUUGCUUCUGACCUGCACCUUGGGCUUCUCUCUCUCUCUCUCUCUCUCUCUCUCUCUCUCUCUCUCUCUCUCGCUCUCGCUCUCGCUCUCUAUCUCACCAGUCAGGAUCUUAAUCAGCACCAGAUGGACACGGUGUCGAAAUUGUCCAAGAGGCUCGGAGAACGCAGGGAGCUGUCAGGCCUGUGGAGAGAGUGGAAUUCUUCAGCAAUAAAACUGGGAUUUAUUGCCUCUCUAGACCCUGCUCUGAUAAAAUGUUCCUUUUCAGAUAGAGGGAGGCCACUGUCCAUUACACUCACCCAACUCCACUACCAACCUAACAACAAGCUGCUGUCAGAGACCGAAAGCCUUCUCAUCCCCUACCGAGCCAAAUGAACCUGCUAAAAUAGCUGCUUUCCACAAUAGACUGGGUAAUUGAAACCAGAAUGUGGAGGAUUUGAUAAAUAGCUUGACCCUAAAGGAAUGCUCAAGUCAUAAAUUUUAAGUGCAUUUUGGCUGGGUAUUUUGGGUAAAUGCAUGUCUGUGCAUGUGUCUUGGUGUGUGCAUAUAUGUUCGCAUGUGUGUACAGGUCUGAAAUUUUAUUAUUUGUAUUAGUGGAUUUUUUCCCUUCGAUUUGGAGCAGGCACACAUGUAUACCAAAACCUUUGUGGGUUUUAAAGCACCUUUCUAGCCUAAGAUCAAAUGCAUGACAAAUAUUCUGAGUUUAUGGAGUUCUUUCACGUAGGCUAUAACUGGUUUAGAUUAAAGCAAAUUACAUGUGAAAUUCCAAAACAUGUGGCAGAAGGGUGUGACACGUUUAUCCAAUAAAACAGGUAAUAGCAUCUACAUUUAAAAUGUUAAAAAUUGUGACUAACACAAAGAAAAAAAGACUUGCUAAAACAUGUAUGUAUGUUUGCACAGGAAUGAAGUGGAUUUACUGACAUAUCUGUUAACUAUGUAAUCAUGUUAACCAUGUAAACAUAAAAACAUUCAGACACAAAGAUUUUUUUUCAUCAACGCAAAUUAUUCAUCAUUCAAAAAUAUUCUGGUCCCAAACAACUACGUUUCAACUCAUGUUAAUGACAAUAUUAUGAUAAAAGCUCAUUUAAUGUUUGAUUGAGGUAGCUGAAUCAUGAACAUGUUUAUAUGAUUCUGGUGUGUGGCUGUAGAAGACAUUCUGGCAUGUGGCUGGGCCAGCACUGUGUAAACAGAGCCAAAUAUUCAAUUUAUGAUGCUUGUCCCAGCUAAACCAGGGGUCUGUUUAUUUUUAGUAGCAUAAUUAUUUUUUGCAGCUUUUCAGUUACUAAGAAUAGGUGUUGUGUUUUUCUAAGAGCUGAAGGGCAUAUAUAGGUGCUGGGAAUGGUUUUCUCUGUGAUCCUUAACAAAGUCUUAAUUAUGUUUUGUUUUUGUGUCCCUCUGUGACUUUCUUUAGGGUGAUAAAUUAUACAGUCAUGCUAAAAGAACCUUGCCACACAAGACAGACUUCCACAGGGUACCUGGCUUGCUGACAGUUACCUGUUCAGCCCUCUGGUGCAGGAAUAAAAUGAACUCUAUUAUGAGUCAGAUGCAUAAAUAUUUCCAUUUCUAUUUUCCAAAACUGUUUUUAAUUUUACAAGUUUUAUAGCUCUAAUAUUAAGUGCAUGUGUUUUACAAGGCAUUGUGUCCUCUGAGUCACCCCCAGCUCCCCAGUAAAAAAAAAAAAAAAAAAAAAAAAAAAAAAAAAUUUUUCUACCUUGGGGAAGGGGGGAUUCAUGGGCCCCUUUCAAACACACUCCUCCACAUCCUAUAACCUCAUGGCCUUCCUUUUUAGGAACAGCAGCUCAGUGAGUUGGGGUCCAGGAACGGGUAACUCCCUGUGUCUCCCUGCUGGCAUGUUGAUCUAAGAGUCCAAAAACCUUCAUCGUCUUGACAAAGUUGUAUAUGCACUCAGUAUUCCAUGUAUAGAACAACUGCUCUGUUAAUAUGUUCUGACAUCCAAAAUAAAAUGGCCUGAUACAGUG